UACGUAGGGGGCAAGCGUUGUUCGGAAUUACUGGGCGUAAAGGGCGCGUAGGCGGCCUUCUAAGUCGAACGUGAAAUCCCCGGGCUCAACCCGGGAACUGCGUCCGAUACUGGAAGGCUUGAAUCCGGGAGAGGGAUGCGGAAUUCCAGGUGUAGCGGUGAAAUGCGUAGAUAUCUGGAGGAACACCGGUGGCGAAGGCGGCAUCCUGGACCGGUAUUGACGCUGAGGCGCGAAAGCCAGGGGAGCAAACGGG
rnacentral:rRNA from 1 species